UUUUUUUUAAACAAGAAAACUCUGAAAUGAUACCUGGCAAUCACCUUGAUCAGACAUGGGAGGUAACCUGAAAACAUCCAACGUCACCAACAUCCUGUGUUACCCCGGACCCUUGCUGUGCUUGGCGUCUUGGCUGAACAUCACAGGAGCCCCUGAAGGAAGCCUCCCUAUCUCCAUCCUACAGCUGAGGGGACUGAGGCCAUGUGAGUUUCACACCCUGACCCUGUAGACAAGAAGACCCAGGCCAUGUGAGGUUCAACAUCUCAUCCCUACAGACGAGGAGACCUGGACACGUGCGCGUUACAUCUUGUCCAAGAACGUCUAGCCAGUGGGAGAGCUGCGGCCAUAGGAAAGUUCCCACGCAGGUCCUGGAGUCCGUGCCCAGAGAUGAAGCUGGCUGAGGGACUGACUCCUCAUGCCCCACGUGGAAGUCAUGGAAGCGGCCGUGAGCAUAGCCGUUGAUGUGACCGCUUGUAUGUACUCAGCCAUGAAAGGUGAAAUGUGCCAUUUGGAACAAUGUGGAUGAGCCUGGAGAUGAUCAUACGAAGUGAGGUCAGCCAAAGACAAUGUCACAUCACUGCAUGUGGAAUCCAGACGUAUUCUGCGGACACAGGGCGCCAUGUCCUAGCCAAGUUGAGACAUGAAAGGAAACAUUGAAACAGUGCUUUCUGGGAUCUUCUAUUUCUCCGUUUCUCCAAAGACUUCACUUUCUUUAAGCACAAAGUAGAAUGUUCACAUCACAAACUGAUGACCCAGGAGAGAAGCUAUAAGCUGGCUGUUACAGCAAAGGUUUUAAAUAAUUAGAAGGGGCCACCCCCACUCCCCCAGAGCCUGGAGGGUGACACCGUUCGCCUCGUGGGAUCCAACUGCCUCCGUGACCCCGUGCCAUCCGCGGUGGGCCUGAGGCUGAUCACACCUUUGCUGGAGGGUCGGAAAGCCUUCCUGGAAGACGCACAGGCAGAAUGAACCCGAAGAAAGCCCUGAAGGUGGAGAGAGCUCCGGGCAGAGAGCAGCACAAACCCUGGUUCCCUGGGGGAGAGAAUUCAGACGCAAAGCUGGACAGCUGGACAGCUAGGCUGAAGGCGCUUCUGAAGCUCUACAGAGCUGGGCUGAGGAGGAAAGUCAGAAUUUGCAGAACAGGCUUGGGACCACGGCUAGGCGACUCCAGGCAGAGAUGGGGGGCAGGUCCAGGCCAGGAAGACAGCGCCCCUUGUGGCUGAUGGUGGAAAUUGUCACCUUCCCUCCCACCCCCGACCCCCAGCCUGUCUCCUGGGAUGUCAAGGAGCCUUGCAAACUGCUGUCCUCCCAGAGGGCUCACCUGGGAGGACAGGUGAGCAUUUGCAGAGCUGCAGGGACUGUGGGUGGUGCUGUCCAUCAGCAUCCUGUCCUUCCAGCCCAGCUCCAGCUGGCACGGAUCAGCCUCGUGUUUCCCAGGGGACUCGGGCGGGGCAGCCAGGGUCCCCAGGAGCCCCCGGGGCAGCCGUCCCCGACCCAGCACUGGCUCCGGCAGACAGAGGCUAUGGCAGUGUCAGUGUCUGGGUUAAACACUGCAAAGCGAUGAUAAUUUCAGGCAACCACAGUGGGCAGCCUGCAUGAAUUACCUCUGUGCUCCAUGCAUGCCUGAUCAGCCAUCUACUCUGAGUGGAGGAAACAUGCAAACAUCUGGCACCGUCCACAACAGGGCUGCCCG
rnacentral:lncRNA from 1 species